UAGUGUCCGGGACUACAGGCCGCCGCCGCU
rnacentral:piRNA from 1 species